UGAUGUUAGCGGCGGACGGGUGAGUAACACGUGGGUAACCUGCCUGUAAGACUGGGAUAACUCCGGGAAACCGGGGCUAAUACCGGAUGGUUGUUUGAACCGCAUGGUUCAGACAUAAAAGGUGGCUUCGGCUACCACUUACAGAUGGACCCGCGGCGCAUUAGCUAGUUGGUGAGGUAACGGCUCACCAAGGCGACGAUGCGUAGCCGACCUGAGAGGGUGAUCGGCCACACUGGGACUGAGACACGGCCCAGACUCCUACGGGAGGCAGCAGUAGGGAAUCUUCCGCAAUGGACGAAAGUCUGACGGAGCAACGCCGCGUGAGUGAUGAAGGUUUUCGGAUCGUAAAGCUCUGUUGUUAGGGAAGAACAAGUGCCGUUCAAAUAGGGCGGCACCUUGACGGUACCUAACCAGAAAGCCACGGCUAACUACGUGCCAGCAGCCGCGGUAAUACGUAGGUGGCAAGCGUUGUCCGGAAUUAUUGGGCGUAAAGGGCUCGCAGGCGGUUUCUUAAGUCUGAUGUGAAAGCCCCCGGCUCAACCGGGGAGGGUCAUUGGAAACUGGGGAACUUGAGUGCAGAAGAGGAGAGUGGAAUUCCACGUGUAGCGGUGAAAUGCGUAGAGAUGUGGAGGAACACCAGUGGCGAAGGCGACUCUCUGGUCUGUAACUGACGCUGAGGAGCGAAAGCGUGGGGAGCGAACAGGAUUAGAUACCCUGGUAGUCCACGCCGUAAACGAUGAGUGCUAAGUGUUAGGGGGUUUCCGCCCCUUAGUGCUGCAGCUAACGCAUUAAGCACUCCGCCUGGGGAGUACGGUCGCAAGACUGAAACUCAAAGGAAUUGACGGGGGCCCGCACAAGCGGUGGAGCAUGUGGUUUAAUUCGAAGCAACGCGAAGAACCUUACCAGGUCUUGACAUCCUCUGACAAUCCUAGAGAUAGGACGUCCCCUUCGGGGGCAGAGUGACAGGUGGUGCAUGGUUGUCGUCAGCUCGUGUCGUGAGAUGUUGGGUUAAGUCCCGCAACGAGCGCAACCCUUGAUCUUAGUUGCCAGCAUUCAGUUGGGCACUCUAAGGUGACUGCCGGUGACAAACCGGAGGAAGGUGGGGAUGACGUCAAAUCAUCAUGCCCCUUAUGACC
rnacentral:rRNA from 1 species